UUUAGGACAUCAUUGUUCUGUUGGUGACUAAACAACAUUAAACUCAGUCAAGUGUUCAAUCAUGUGAAUUGCUGCCAAUAAUAACUAAAACUUAAUAAAAAUGUAUUUUGAAAUAAUAUCUACAGGUUACAAGUAAAAAGGACUACAACUUAAGAAUUUGGAAGAGUGGAAUUUGGAAGAGUUUAGAGACCCUGACAGAAAGAAA
rnacentral:lncRNA from 1 species